CACCACCACCUUCUCCUUUUGCAUAUGUAAAUACUGGGACUCCAACAAUCCAAAUACACCAGUCACAUUCUGAGGAAAAGGAGUUGGAUCUUAAACAAGGUUUUUCUGAAUUGGAAUUGCUUGUUGAAGAUGAAAUUUGUAUCAGCAUAAGAAGAGAAAAA